CAGCACGGGGGCAACCCUGGUGGCGAGUGGCGAACGGGUGAGUAAUACAUCGGAACGUGUCCUGUAGUGGGGGAUAGCCCGGCGAAAGCCGGAUUAAUACCGCAUACGCUCUACGGAGGAAAGGGGGGGAUCUUAGGACCUCCCGCUACAGGGGCGGCCGAUGGCAGAUUAGCUAGUUGGUGGGGUAAAGGCCUACCAAGGCGACGAUCUGUAGCUGGUCUGAGAGGACGACCAGCCACACUGGGACUGAGACACGGCCCAGACUCCUACGGGAGGCAGCAGUGGGGAAUUUUGGACAAUGGGCGAAAGCCUGAUCCAGCAAUGCCGCGUGUGUGAAGAAGGCCUUCGGGUUGUAAAGCACUUUUGUCCGGAAAGAAAACCUCCGCCCUAAUAUGGUGGGGGGAUGACGGUACCGGAAGAAUAAGCACCGGCUAACUACGUGCCAGCACG
rnacentral:rRNA from 1 species